rnacentral:rRNA from 1 species
UACGUAGGGGGCAAGCGUUGUCCGGAUUUAUUGGGCGUAAAGAGCGUGUAGGCGGCCAUACAGGUCAGCUGUGAAAACUCGAGGCUCAACCUCGAGACGUCGGUUGAAACCGUAUGGCUAGAGUCCGGAAGAGGAGAGUGGAAUUCCCGGUGUAGCGGUGAAAUGCGCAGAUAUCGGGAAGAACACCCGUGGCGAAGGCGGCUCUCUGGGACGGUACCGACGCUGAGACGCGAAAGCGUGGGGAGCGAACAGGAU